rnacentral:miRNA from 1 species
UUCCAAAUUACUCGUCGUGGU